rnacentral:rRNA from 11 species
UCCUAUAAAUAUAUAAACUGAAGGUAAUGGAUCCCAUCUGAUCUUGGAAGCUAAGCAAAAUCAAGCUUGGUUAGUACUUGGAUGGGGGACUUAACAAGGAAAUUGGUAUUUCAGAAA